rnacentral:lncRNA from 1 species
AAAAAAAAAAAAAAAAAAAGAAAGGAGCUCAAGAACCCUGUGCAGCCCCAAGAAGAGACUCCAGAGUCUGUCCUAUCUCCCUGUCCUGCCUCAGUUUCUCUCAUACCUUCUUGCCUUCCUGGAUCAGGGAAUAGUCCCUUUGUGUACUCCACAACCCACACAGCUGGGCCUCCACCCAAGCCCCGCCGCUCUAAGAAAGGUGAGUAAGACCCCAUCUCUCGCAGGUGCCUGUGAUGGACCGUGUUGAGGGGGAGUUUGAGGUGGCACUGUUUGACUCUCUGGGGAGACACCUGUAGGAUUUUGAGCAAAUAAAGGGAAUCGGAAGAGACCUUCACCCAUAUCCACCCCCUCCAGUGGGGCUUCAUUCUGGUGGGAAUGGGGGAUUGCUUGCCAGGAUUUCUGUUCCCCAAAGCACCAGCCUGCAAAUUCUGUGCAGCCAUGCACACUUACAUUUUCUGGGCCUUAGUUCACUCCCCAAACCAAAGGGUUGUGCCAGUGGACUCUGGGCACCCUUCCCCUCCCACGUCCCUCCUGAGGGUGUGAGCGUCCUGCCUGCCCUUUACCACCUCCAGCCUGGAACGAAGCAGGAAGGGCGGGAUGGGGCUCAGAGGCAUCUUUCUCCACAGCAGAGUUGGAAGGCCCUGCUCAGCCCUUCGCAGGUCCCCCCAAGGUGGUUGCCUCUGCUGCCCUGAAAGCUCCCCACCCCAUGGUAGCUGCAUUUGACUACAACCCCGGGAAAACUCCCCCUAAUAUGGACGUGGAGGCAGAGCUGCCCUUCAGGGCGGGAGAUGUCAUCACUGUGUUUGGGAGCAUGGAUGACGAUGGUUUCUACUAUGGAGAACUGAAUGGACAGAGGGGCCUGGUUCCAUCCAACUUCCUGGGGCCCCCGGGCCUGAGGUAGGCAGCCCAGACAGGGAACCCAGGACACCCCAGGCAGAGAGUCAGAGAACGAGGAGGAGAAGAGUCCAGUGCUAGAUGGAGAUAGAUAUAUGUAGAGAGAGCAACAUGACUGGAUUGGUGCACGAGGACCCGAAGUGCCCCUGGGGCUGGCACUGCUCCUCCAGCCCUGGCAGCCUCCCCAGGACCGAACUGGGGGGCCGCAGGAGCACAGUUGAGAAGGUGCUGGGGUCUCCUGUCCAAAGGGAAGCAGCUCCUCAGGAAACUGGGCUCUGGGAGGAAGGAGUGAAGCUGUGGCCCUUUCUGGAGUGGCCCCUGGAGACACCCAGGUCACUGCUGUGGCUGGACAGGGGAGGCCCUGCCCCGUCCCAGAGCUCCUGGUCUUUGUAGCGUUAACACAGUGGCACUUGGAUGGGAAUCAAAGAGAAUUGGUGAAGGUGGGAGCCUAGGGUGGGUCUUGAGGGGUGCGUCCUCUAGCUGGGCCCCUUCCCCUUGUAGGAGGGAAACUCCUCCCCGCAGUGAGUAACCUGACCGAGCUCACGGAGCCCCAGUGAGACCAGGAUGGGACUCAGGUCUCUUGACUCCCAGUCCACCCACCUAGUCCAAUCCUAGUUUCCCACCAGGCUGUGUAGGUCCCUUCUUUGACCCUCUCUGUACCCAGGACGGAACCCUGAGGGGAGAAGGGGCCUGUCUCCACAGUGGCUCUGGCUGUCCUGAUUGGAAAGCUUGCAUUGGAGUCUCCCGUGGGGGCGGCGGGCGGAACCUUGUAUAUAUGUACAUACUCAGUGCCUCACUCCAGCCCCUCCAUUGCGCCUCAGCCUCCACCGCACAGGCUGGGGAGGGAGAGGGCCAGGCCGGGAAGCGGGCCUCACCCCGCCCCGCUGUGCUCCACCCCUCCCUGCCCCGCCGCCUGGCCCCUGUGCACCCUCCUUGAAACCCAGGGGACCAGGGGGCAGAAAGCAGGAGUUGGGUUUGCCUUAUUUUGCUCAUUGGAUUCAACUUCUCUUUUGCAUUGUUUUCCUCUGACCCCUGUGGGUGUCCAGGGGCUGAGAAUAAGGACAGAUUUAUGCAGCUAUUUUCAUACAUUCCCUGUUCAGAGUGGGUAGGGGCUUCUCCACCCUUCCCAAGCUGCCCAUCCCUCACCCUGGCUGGGUGAAUGUCUCUCUGCAUGUUUCUUUCGCUGUGGUGGGAGAUUGUUUAGAACCCCGCCUCCAUCCUGGUCUCCAGGGGUGUGGAAUGGUGGAGGCAUUUGUUUAAAAAGACAUUUUAUUAUAAUAAAGU